rnacentral:sRNA from 1 species
ACACCCACAAGUUAAACUUGUUACACCCGCGCCCGGCUGCCGUAAGGGAGUCCGAGCGCAAUUUUUGACGGGCACUCUUACUUUACAGAGGCCUUUU